rnacentral:sRNA from 1 species
ACUAUAAAGUUGCUCUGGAGACAGCUGAGAAGUGCAGCCAGUCCAACAACCAGUUCCAGAAGAUCUCAGAGGAACUCAAAGUGAAAGGUCCCAAGGACUCCAAGGACAGCCACACGUCCGUCACCAUGGAAGCUCUGCUCUACAAGCCCAUUGACCGGGUCACUCGGAGCACCCUAGUCCUACACGACCUGCUGAAGCACACACCUGUGGACCACCCCGACUACCCGCUGCUGCAGGAUGCCCUCCGCAUCUCCCAGAACUUCCUGUCCAGCAUCAACGAGGACAUCGACCCCCGCCGGACUGCAGUCACAACGCCCAAGGGGGAGACGCGACAGCUGGUGAAGGACGGCUUCCUGGUGGAAGUGUCGGAGAGCUCCCGGAAGCUGCGGCAUGUCUUCCUCUUUACCGAUGUCCUACUGUGUGCCAAGCUGAAGAAGACCUCUGCAGGGAAGCACCAGCAGUAUGACUGUAAGUGGUACAUCCCCCUGGCCGACCUGGUGUUUCCAUCCCCCGAGGAGUCUGAGGAUCCUGUGCUACGAGAAGUGCUAUGACAAGACCAAAGUCAACAAGGACA